rnacentral:rRNA from 1 species
UACGUAGGGGGCAAGCGUUGUCCGGAAUCAUUGGGCGUAAAGAGCGUGUAGGCGGCUUGGUAAGUCCGCUGUGAAAGUCCAGGGCUCAACCCUGGAAUGCCGGUGGAAACUGUCAAGCUUGAGUCCGGAAGAGGCGACUGGAAUUCCUGGUGUAGCGGUGAAAUGCGCAGAUAUCAGGAGGAACACCGGUGGCGAAGGCGGGUCUCUGGGCCGAUGACUGACGCUGAGGAGCGAAAGCGUGGGGAGCGAACAGG